rnacentral:lncRNA from 9 species
GCUGCUGAUCCCUUAAUGCAGAUCCAGAACUUCCUGUCCUCGGUGUAGCGAUUUCACAGCACAGGGCGUCCUGGCUGGGCCUCCCCCACCCGCAGGCCUGCGGUCACGGCUCGUGCUGGUUGUCUGGCCUUCCUCGAGGGAGGGCUCUUGGAAACAUAUUUCUAGAAGGUGGCCUCCUCCAGCUCCUGCCCUUCCCCACCUGGCUGCAGCAUCCUGGGGCUCAGGCCAGAAGCCACACGUGGAUGUUCCGCGUGGACACACGGGUGCAGAUGCUCUGAUUGAAGUGGCUAGGGCACUCCCGCUUUGAGCAAGUGUAUGAAUGGAGGGUAAGUGCCGACCUUCGUGGAUCUAUCCCUGGGGCAGCCGAAAUUCCCCUGAGCUCUCUCGCCAAACAUCUCCCUUGAACUUCCUCUGCUGGUCUUUCACGACACUUUUCGUUGGCCAGCAAAGGCAACUCCAGUAAGGUGUCUGCUUCUCUGGUAAGGUGUCUGCUUUACUGGUGACCAGGUGCGAUGUGCUGUUGCGGUGCUUGAGAACUAGCUUGGGAUUUUUCUUUCUUUUUUUUUUUUGUCUUUUGUUGUUGUUGCUAUUUCUUGGGCCGCUCCCGCGGCAUAUGGAGGUUCCCAGGCUAGGGGCUGAAUCGGAGCUGUAGCCACGGACUUACGCCAGACCCACAGCAACGCAGGAUCUGAGCUGCGUCUGCAACCUACACCACAGCUCACGGCAACGCCGGAUCCUUAACCCACUGAGCAAGAGCAGGGACCGAACCCUCAACCUCAUGGCUCCUAGUCGGAUUCGUUAACCACUGCGCCACGACGGGAACUCCGGGAUUUUUCUAAUUCUUAGGAAGGACUCCCAAACCCAUUUCCCUAAGCACUAGUUGCAGAUUUAGAACACCACAAACCCAAGCCCCACAUCCCAUGCAAGGUCUGUUUCAGGUUUACAAGGUCAAUUUCCCAAAGUGGAGAGUGCUUUCCACUCUCAGGGACAUGUCAAGGACAAGAGAAGGAAAGAUCGAGAGACACACAUAGCAAACCUAUGACCAAAGCUGGGAGAAAUGAAGGUGGCUCUACAGAAGGGCGGCCUUCAGGUGACUUUGAACACAAAAUGUAAUUUCUGUGGGAAACAGUUUUUACAAAGUCAAGAUGAAUUGGUGUGUUAGUACAAAGAUCUUUUUUUUCCUUCCUUCUACAAAUGAUCAAGGAAAAUGGAUUUUUAAAAUGUAAACAUUCUCUUGUAGUAUUUACAGCUUCUCUAAUGUAGG